GGCGUGGGAUUGAAAGCAUAAAAGCUACUGGUUGGUUUUGAUAUCAGCCAGUUUGAGCUGUAGGACUUCAGGGAUACACACCAUUUACGCGACAAGCAAGAUUGAGCUGAACGUUUAGAAAUUGAAGCUUGCAACUCAAGCACAAGAUGAGAGUUUUCGUUGGUGUAUUUUUGGUGAUCAUCUUAGCGUUAUACGCAGUGCCGGUCUUCGCUAAUAACAACGUGUGCUGGAACAAUGGUCGAGUAAUUUCAGGAACGUACAGAAAAUGCAGAUGUGCCUCGGGGUACAAAGGAUAUAACUGCGCACAAAAA